AGUGAUGGCAUGCGAAUCUCGAAAGCCUAUCUCAGUUCGGAUUGGAGGCUGAAACCCGCCUCCAUGAAGUUGGAUUCGCUAGUAAUCGCGCAUCAGCCAUGGCGCGGUGAAUACGUUCCCGGGCCUUGUACACACCGCCCGUCAAGCCAUGGGAGCCGGGGGUGCCUGAAGUUCGUUACCGUAAGGAUCGACCUAGGGCAAAACUGGUGACUGGGGCUAAGUCGUAACAAGGUAUC
rnacentral:rRNA from 1 species